CGUUCCGGUAAACUCAAUUAUAGCGUUCUCCAUUAUUUUGUGGGAAAUAUAAAAGAUGCCAAAAUCAGUUUGGGCCGAAAUCCCUUCUCUCUCUUCCUGAUUUCAAUUUCAAACCCUAACUCUCUCGCUCUCUCUUUCUCUGAACUUAGCUUCUAUAAUUUCAACUGCAACACGCAUGGCGUAGCAAAAGACGGACUACUAAUCGAUCUAUCUAUACAAGCAGAUGGACAACCGCUGAAGUUCCAAUCGAUUUGGGAAGAAAUGGUGCCCUGAGCUUAUCCUCAAACAACCUCACAAAUCAAUCCCUUCCGAUGUCACAACCACUACCGCCUCCUCCCUCUCCACCUCCACGGUGCCGUUGCCGGAAAAUCUACACCGUUUUCUCGGAGAGCCGUUUUCUUUGGGGUUGAAGAGGCGAUAACCCACUUUGUAUUGAGUUCCAUCCAAAGCUUUUGUUAGCCAAAUCUCCAAAGCUACAAAGCAUGAGAAUUAAGCUGAAGUCAAUGGACGUUGCUGAAGAAUCGAGGAUUCUAAAAAAGUUGAUAGGAUAUCGACGUGCAUCAGUUUGUGCAGUAAUCACUUUCCCAAAAUAAAGAAAAUGGAUGAACUUUGGAGAGCCUUAAAAUUAUAAUAAAAGACGCUUCAAAUGAGGAAGAAAGGCUAAAGCUGCAGGCAGCCUGAUACCAUCAAGUCAUUGCAUUAGAAAGAUUUUGUGAAGGAAAAGAAAAAUUCAAGGUACGUACGUGCAUUUUGGUGUUAGUAACUUGCUGAUGAUGAAUUGCUGCUGCUGUGUCUAUAUUAAUUCUUCUACCAUUGGGGGUAUCAACUAAGAUGUCUGUGGGUGGGUGUGAUUCUGGAAUGGUUUUGCUGUGUACUAUCAAGUAUACUA